rnacentral:rRNA from 1 species
AGGACGAACGCUGGCGGCAGGCUUAACACAUGCAAGUCGAACGCUCGUAGCAAUACGGGAGUGGCAGACGGGUGAGUAACGCGUGGGAACAUACCCUCCGGUUCGGAAUAGCUCAGGGAAACUUGGAUUAAUACCGGAUACGGCUGAGAGGCGAAAGAUUGAUCGCCGGAGGAUUGGCCCGCGUUCGAUUAGCUUGUUGGUGAGGUAACGGCUCACCAAGGCUAUGAUCGAUAGCUGGUCUGAGAGGAUGAUCAGCCACAUUGGGACUGAGACACGGCCCAAACUCCUACGGGAGGCAGCAGUGGGGAAUAUUGGACAAUGGGCGCAAGCCUGAUCCAGCCAUGCCGCGUGAGUGAUGACGGCCUUAGGGUUGUAAAGCUCUUUCGCUCGGGACGAUAAUGACGGUACCGAGAUAAGAAGCCCCGGCUAACUUCGUGCCAGCACGCCGC